GAGUUUGAUCCUGGCUCAGGAUGAACGCUGGCGGCGUGCCUAAUACAUGCAAGUCGAACGCUUUACCUUGGUAAAGAGUGGCGAACGGGUGAGUAAUACAUAAGUAACCUGCCCACGACAGGGGGACAACUGCUGGAAACGGCAGCUAAUACCGCAUGGGUAGGCAGUACGCAUGUACUGCCUAUGAAAGCAGCUGAGGCUGCGGUAGUGGAUGGACUUAUGGCGCAUUAGCUAGUUGGUGAGGUAACGGCCCACCAAGGCGACGAUGCGUAGCCGACCUGAGAGGGUGACCGGCCACACUGGGACUGAGACACGGCCCAGACUCCUACGGGAGGCAGCAGUAGGGAAUUUUCGGCAAUGGGCGAAAGCCUGACCGAGCAACGCCGCGUGAAGGAAGAAGGAAUUCGUUCUGUAAACUUCUGUCAUAGAGGAAGAACGGUAUGAUCAGGGAAUGGGUCAUAAGUGACGGUACUCUAUAAGAAAGCCACGGCUAACUACGUGCCAGCAGCCGCGGUAAUACGUAGGUGGCGAGCGUUAUCCGGAAUUAUUGGGCGUAAAGAGGGAGCAGGCGGCACUAAGGGUCUGUGGUGAAAGCCCGAAGCUUAACUUCGGCGAGCCAUGGAAACCGUAGAGCUAGAGUGUGUGAGAGGAUCGUGGAAUUCCAUGUGUAGCGGUGAAAUGCGUAG
rnacentral:rRNA from 1 species